rnacentral:rRNA from 1 species
AUUGCACGCUGGCGGCAGGCUUAACACAUGCACGUCGAGCGAGCGGCGGACGGGUGAGUAAUGUCUGGGAAACUGCCUGAUGGAGGGGGAUAACUACUGGAAACGGUAGCUAAUACCGCAUACCAUCAGAUGUGCCCCGAUGGGAUUAGCUAUUGGGUGGGGUAAUGGCUCACCUAGGCGACGAUCCCUAGCUGGCCGGAGAGGAUGACCCACCAACCUGGAACUGGGAAACGGACCAGACUCCUCCGGGAGGCAGCAGUGGGGAAUAUUGCACAAUGGGCGCAAGCCUGACGCAGCCAUGCCGGGUGUGUGAAGAAGGCCUUCGGGUUGUAAAGCACUUUCAGCGAGGAGGCGUUACUCGCAGAAGAAGCACCGGCUAACGCCGUGCCAGCAGCCGCGGUAAUUC